UUGAAAGGGAAACGAUUGAAGUCAGUCAUGCUGGUGGGAAUCAACUUAGGGGAAACUCUAGGUGCACUUCUUCGCUUGGCAGGUUAACGUCGACCUUGAAUGCCAUAAAAUAAUUGGGGGAAGGUAGCUCCUUCGGGAGUGUUAUAGCCCUUGAUAGAUGUGAUGUUUGGGGUCGAGGAUUGCAACGGAUACUUUGGGGCUAGCCGCCUGAUCUCUAAUCGGUGUUGGGUUACGGAUAGCAUGCUGACCGUGAUCUAAUUACUGGUUAAAAGGUUAGAGCGUGCAUAAAUUCGUUAAGGAUGUUGACGUA
rnacentral:rRNA from 1 species